AAAGAUCAACAGAACUACUAUUUUUCGUUUCACUUAUCUUGAACUUUGUAACAAUUUAAUCACACUAAAUUCUAACAAAAUUACAAAUUGAAAAUGAGAAAAGAAAACUGAACAAAAAAAAAAAUAAUUAUACCAUCCGCCGAAAUACUAACGAAAAAAUCAAAAUGAAAAAAGUAUAGCCAUUACUGUUCAAACCACCGUACCCUCUUCGUAAUACCAACGUACCACCACCGUAACACCUACCACUACAUGUCCUUCCCUGCCGUUUUCUGUCGUUCGAGUGCGACCAACGUCUUUCUCUCCGUCAGGCCAAAAAGAGAUUUUGACUAUCAUUCAAUGUUGCUAUUGUUUUCUGCGUUUAAGAUCGUUUAACGGUGUCAGUCAUUGGCUGCUGCAGGGAUGCGGCAAUGGUGGCGGCGGCGGCGGUGAAGAUAGAGAGAUCCGGUAGGAAACACAGGAAGAGGAUCUCUCAGCCAUCUGAUCAAGGUGGUGGGAUAGAGAGACGUUGUUUGCAUGGAUGCGAUGGAGACUUUUGGGUACAUGGAUCUGACUCACAAUGAUUUAUUCGACCCAUUGUAGAUGAGUUUGAGCAAGAACAAGAAUUUGGAACAAGAACACCAGCUCAGAUGAUCUAGCCAUGGUGUUCUUGGAGUGACUGAAGAACAACAAGGAGACUGUCUGUCUCAUCGGAAGACCUGAGGAAAGUGAAAUUAAAAAAGCAACAACAGACUGUAUUGUUAUUUUUCAGUUUUGUUAUUUAAAGUAAUUAAUUUAGUUUAAUGUUAUUUUUUAUUUUUAAAAUGAGUGCCAAUGUUUUAU
rnacentral:lncRNA from 1 species